GAUGAACGCUGGCGGCGUGCUUAACACAUGCAAGUCGAACGGAAAGGCUCCUGCUUGCCGGGGUACUCGAGUGGCGAACGGGUGAGUAACACGUGGGUGAUCUGCCCUGCACUUCGGGAUAAGCCUGGGAAACUGGGUCUAAUACCGGAUAGGACGAUGGUUUGGAUGCCAUUGUGGAAAGUUUUUUCGGUGUGGGAUGAGCUCGCGGCCUAUCAGCUUGUUGGUGGGGUAAUGGCCUACCAAGGCGUCGACGGGUAGCCGGCCUGGGAGGGUGUACGGCCACAUUGGGAAUGAGAUAAGGGCCAGACCCCUACGGGAGGCAGGCGUGGGGAAUAUUGCACAAUGGGCGCAAGCCUGAUGCAGCGACGCCGCGUGGGGGAUGACGGCCUUCGGGUUGUAAACUCCUUUCGCUAGGGACGAAGCGCAAGUGACGGUACCUGGAGAAGAAGCACCGGCUAACUACGUG
rnacentral:rRNA from 1 species